AGUAUUAAUGCUGGCUCUUAGAGGAUGUACAAGCUGAAGUUGGGACCUAGACAUUGUUUGCAUAGGCUGUGCAAUGUGAAAUAUCUAAAAUAAAAUAGGAUAAUAAGCAUGCUUAGUCAAUUUGUAACGUGGUAUCCUAGAGGUAUCCAAAUAAGUGUGUUUCCAAGACCUGACAAGUGAAGGCAACUUAAUAACAUAUGUCUCCAGUUUGCUGUCCUUUCCUUAUCAGAGGCUACUUCUGAAACCUGUAUUAAACAAAGCACUUUAGAACAAUAGUAAUUCACUUUGUUUCUCUAGUUGUUCUGUAAAAAAUAUUGUUUAAGUGGGAUAACUGUAUGGAGGUUCCACCAUGUAUUAAAACAUGAUCACACACAUAUAGAACUGGUGGCUUUUUGGACAUCGGGAUCUAUAAAAGGUUUCGGUUUCCAAAGAUGUUAUCAGGGUCCACAAAACUGACAGACUUCAGCAUUUCAAUGUUAUUAAAGUAAGUAAUUGAGAUUAUCAAAUCAAGGUUUAAAUUUAAGAACAGCAUUUUAUUGGGAAUUAUGCCAAUAUGUAUAUGUUAUUGUUUUAGUACUCAACAAGCAUUUAUAUAGAAUGAGUGCUUCUCUCAUCCAUACAAAGGCAUUUUAAAGGGAAAUUAUGUAUUAAAAUUUUAUAAAGGACAAAUUCAAUGAAUUAUAAGCAAAACUGAGAGAAGUACAUGUUACACUAGUUAAGAGUUUAACUUUAGUUUCUAAUUUGAGUUUAGCCUAGAUAAUUAAUUUAUUGAUGUCGUACUGAUCCUUGUGUUUGUAUGAUUAUAGAGACCGUACUGGAGUAUUUGUGCCGCCUGAUAUUUGGGACUACACACCAAUCUCUCUGGCUGACCUACCUGCCUACCUACCUUUUUUGCAAUUAAAUCUGUUUGGUCAAAAACCAUGCUGGCCGAAGAAACUGAGAUGCUUACUUAUGAGGGCAUAAACUAACUUGGAAAGUCCUGAAGAUGCAGUGCUGUCUAAUGCCACUAUUUCUGUAUUACCCUUUCAACAAUUGGGGUGUUGCACAAAGUAUUGUGGUGAACAUCCAGCAAACAGAAGAAUUAAGAACUAUGUGGAAGCUGACAUUGUCUUGUUGUCAGCCAUAUUGCAACCCUUAGCUAUGUUAUGGAGUCUAAGAUUAUGGAACAAAGUUUAUGGUGUCUAAGAUUCUUUAUACUCCUUGAAAGACUUAUAAUAUUUUUCUGGACUAUGCUGGACUAUUGAACUAUUUUGUUAUUUUUAUUUUUGUAGAGUUAGCCGGAGAGAGAGGAAGUGUUAGCUUACUCAGGCAUGGAUGUGCUAUGUGUGUCAUUGAUGUAUGUUGAGUGUACCAAGGAUGGAUUCCAAUGUAUUAAGUGUGGAUAUGACUGGACCAUCGAAAUAGGGAUUUGAUUAGGAGGCAUAGGACGCAAGGUCAUGAUUACGAUUAUUGUUAGAAUUGCAAACUGAUUAGAAAUGAUCUCAUGAUUUAAUAUGUAAGUGGGCCUUUUCAAACUAAUCAAGAAGUGUUUCCCAAUCCCGAUACCUGAGCUAUUUACUUACAAAGUGCAGGUUUUAUAAGUCACUAAUGCUGUCAACGUGAGGGGAUGACAUGUUUACACAGUCAUGGCCCUCGCUUAGAAUUUACCCAGAUGUGCUUUUUUCCUCAAUUAUGAGUUUUUGCCACUGGGUUUUUUGACCUGGCCCAAGUUCACUGGGUGCACUGGUAAUCCAAGACCCUGGUCCAAAGAGGGGAAAUAGAUUUUAUUCCCAUUUUUUGAUUAUAUAUGUUUACGUUGUGAAUUAUAAUAAUAAUAUUCCUGUUGUUGGGAAUAAUACACUUUGCCUGUUUUGAUCCAAGGCUCAAGUUACAGAUAACAUGAUGUGCAGUAUGUUUAAAAUUGGUUGAGAUGUCAGCUGUUUGAAAUUUUUAACUUGUACACUUAAAAGAUGUGUACAACAGAUGAUUACAAAAGCUGAAAAUCGACAGCACGAUCUCCUCUUAAAGGGAAAACCUACGGCACAGAGCAAAUGGGGGAAAUCGAGGUGAAGAAAUAAUAAAAGUCCCGCAGACGUGAUUAGCACGUCUGAAUAUACCUCCGUUGGUUUCUCUGCCGCAGGCCUCCCAUGGAUAUUCCGUAAGGUAGAUCAUGAUAUGAUCUAAGAGGGGAAUUGUAGAUGCGAAUAUCCAUUAUGCUCAAUAUCUUAGCUGUUCAUAUAAGGGUUAAUUUGACCCAAGAAUAAAUUUGGAAUUGUAUCUCCAAUUCUCGGAAAUAAAACUUAUCUAUUUAUUGGAACAUGAUUUUGUUAUGUUCCUGGAAAAGGAUAUUUACAUGACAUGACAUGACAUAAUAAGGAUUCUGGAAUGACCUUGUUAAUUGUCCAAGAUUUCGGUAUUUGUAAUCAUCUGGGUUUUAUCCAAUAUGCAUACAUUAUGUAACAUCGAAUUAUAACUAAAAACAGCUGUUUAUAACUUGUGAAAAACAAUGUCAUUGUCACGCCCAUAUGCUUAUUUUUCCCCCUCCCAUCCUGCUAUGAAAAUGGGGUAUAAAUAUAACUGACGUAUGAAUACAAUUUGAAUUGGUUAUUGAACAUGUCUCUGCUAUUCAUUUCCAAUUUCCAGAGCUCUGUAUGAGUUGGCAAAUGUCCAUCAUCCACAAAGGUCUCGGGCUGAUUUUAUCCCCAACACCGAGUACAACAGUACCCCUCAUGUACAGGUUUUAUGGUGUUUUCAAAAGUUACAGCGUCAAAUAUAAGGCUUAUGUUUAAUUUUUUUCACAUUAAAAUUCGCCAG